CGGGCUGGCUGCGGAGCGCGCCGCUUGGAGCGUGGCCGCGCUCGGCGCCUUCGCUCUAAUGAUUUUAAUUGCGUGGUUUUUGCUUUGAGUGAACUAAAGCGAGUGCGAUUACUUCUUUUUUUUUUUCUUUCUUUCUUUCUUUCUUUCUUUUUUUUUUUCCCUGGUUUCACCAAAAGGCUGUCAGCAUCAGUUGUUCAGACGUAACGUACCUACCAAAGUCUCCUGAGAACGUUUUUUCUGAGCGAUUCCAGCUUCCAGACACAUUUGCCAUGAUAAGGGUUUCGAUCCUUUCCCGUGCUUGCUCUGAGCCAUGAGUGGAUAUGUGUGAUGCCUGCAAGUAAAACUGGGUAAGAAGAGUGACCUCUUCGGGUGGCUGUAACUGAAGAUUGCUUCACGGGAGCAACUGAGGAAGGCUGUUGGCCUCCUGGCGGGCGAAGCGGAGCUCGUGGUGCGCGUUGGCCGUGCCGGGUUCGGGGAGAGCCGCGGGGUUCGCCCGCGGGAGCACCCGGCUGGUCCAGGCCCUCGGCCGCACGCGAGAACUUCACGGGGCCAAAUUCUGCAUCCUCCUCUUGCCCAGGCCCGUACGCGCGGCGUCUU
rnacentral:lncRNA from 1 species